rnacentral:lncRNA from 10 species
UCUGUGAUGACACUGACGGUUUUGAGGAGUAACUGUCAGUUUCAGAUUUGCAAAGGGAGACGUGACAUCAAGUUUGGAAGAAAGCUGAAUUACUGGGACUAACAGAGUGAAAAGAAUAUGGACUUUCAAGAAAGAAACAGAUCUCCCGCCACAGCCAGUGAGGAAAUGAGGUCUCUUGACAACACCUGUGAGAGAGCCAUCUGAGAAGAUCCUCCAACCCUGGGGAAACCUUCAGAUGACUGCAGACCUGGCUGACAGUCUGACUGCUGCCUCACGAGAGACCCUCAGCCAGGACUACCCAGCUAAGCCACUUCUGGACUACUAGCCUCAGAAACUGUGUGAGAUAAUAAACAGUUGUUGUUUUUCACUUCUGACUUGGGGGUAAUUUAUUAAUGCAGCAAUAGAUAACUGACAUAAAAGAAACCAAAGCUAGAAAAGCUUACAUUUGCAAAAGUUGUAAUUAAUAAAACUGGGUUAGCUGGCUUUUAGGAAGUAAAGAAAAAGAUAAUUAAAACUUAUAAAACUUAAUUUCCUGCACCU